AGCCUUGUGCAGUGACAGGAUCAUAGCCAAUGAGGUUUAGCCAAGGCAUGAUUAUUGCUAAUUGAAAACUUUUCCCAAUACCCCACUGUGACAACUUACAAUGUAGUCAGCUUUGGCAAUUUUUGACAGUCUCUACAGGGA
ensembl:snRNA U4 U4 spliceosomal RNA